GAUGAACGCUAGCUACAGGCUUAACACAUGCAAGUCGAGGGACCGACGUAUGGGUGAGUAACGCGUAUCCAACCUUCCCAUUACUAUGGGAUAACCUGCCGAAAGGCAGACUCAUACCGCAUAGUAUUGGAUGGGGAUGCGUGUGAUUAGCUUGUUGGCGGGGUAACGGCCAACCAAGGCGACGAUCAGUAGGGGUUCUGAGAGGAAGGUCCACCACAAUGGAACUGAGGCACGGUCCAAACUCCGAGGGGAGGCAGCAGUGAUGAAUAUUGGUCAAUGAACGGAAGUCUGAACCAGCCAAGUAGGGUGCAGGAUGACGGCCUAUGGGUUGUAAACUGCUUAUGUAUGGGGAUAGGUACCAGAUGAAUAAGGACCGGCUAAUUCCGUGCCAGCAGCCGCGGUAAUAC
rnacentral:rRNA from 1 species